rnacentral:rRNA from 1 species
AGAGUUUGAUCAUGGCUCAGAUUGAACGCUGGCGGCAUGCCUUACACAUGCAAGUCGAACGGUAACGCGGGGCAACCUGGCGACGAGUGGCGAACGGGUGAGUAAUGUAUCGGAACGUGCCCAGUAGUGGGGGAUAGCCCGGCGAAAGCCGGAUUAAUACCGCAUACGACCUACGGGUGAAAGGGGGGGAUCGCAAGACCUCUCGCUAUUGGAGCGGCCGAUAUCAGAUUAGGUAGUUGGUGGGGUAAAGGCCUACCAAGCCGACGAUCUGUAGCUGGUCUGAGAGGACGACCAGCCACACUGGGACUGAGACACGGCCCAGACUCCUACGGGAGGCAGCAGUGGGGAAUUUUGGACAAUGGGCGCAAGCCUGAUUCAGCCAUGCCGCGUGCGGGAAGAAGGCCUUCGGGUUGUAAACCGCUUUUGUCAGGGAAGAAAUCCUUUGGGCUAAUACCCCGGAGGGAUGACGGUACCUGAAGAAUAAGCACCGGCUAACUACGUGCCAGCAGCCGCGGUAAUACGUAGGGUGCAAGCGUUAAUCGGAAUUACUGGGCGUAAAGCGUGCGCAGGCGGUUGUGUAAGACAGAUGUGAAAUCCCCGGGCUCAACCUGGGAACUGCAUUUGUGACUGCACAGCUGGAGUGCGGCAGAGGGGGAUGGAAUUCCGCGUAGCAGUGAAAUGCGUAGAUAUGCGGAGGAACACCGAUGGCGAAGGCAAUCCCCUGGGCCUGCACUGACGCUCAUGCACGAAAGCGUGGGGAGCAAACAGGAUUAGAUACCCUAGUAGUCC